ACAAAACCAAAUUUAAGCAACUUUAGAAUAAAAUUCAGUUGUUAACUAAACUUCACAAAAAACGAAAGUAUUGCUAAAAUUAAUUUGCAAUGUUUCGAACAGUAUUGCUUCUCAUUGGACUGUUGGUAAUUAAUGGCUUAGGUAAGAAGAACGUAUCUAUAUUUUAAAUUGUGACCAACAAUACGCAAAGUAUUAGAAUAUACUUCAAAGACCCUAUGUAGCUUACUGUUCGGUGUAAGCCUCAUUGGCACCCAUACCUCAUCUUCUUGUAUCUAUCAAAAGUACUUACAAAGUAUUGUGUGUUCGUAUAUGGACCGCAUAUCAUUAUCGCAUCACGUCUUAAUGCCAGAAGAUCCCUACUACACAGCUAAAAAUGUAGCGCAUGUAAAUGUAUGUUUAUCAUGGUUUUACCGUAUGUUUCUAAACAUGACAGAAGCGCAUGUUUGGGGAUUGUAUAGUUAACCUGUGUUUAUGGGAAACAUGCGUUAGAAAAUACAUGCGCAUGGUAAACGCAUGUUCUUGUUAACCAUAUGUUAGUAAACAUAUGGUUAACAUAAGUUCUGAAACAGUAUGGUUAACAUAUUUUUGGAUGAUGAUUGCUUUAUUUCCAGUCGCAGGUCAGAUGUAUAUUCAGGACGAUAGCAUGAUAAUGAGAAAUAAGAAUUAAUCCUGCUUUGCACUAGACCAAUAAGUUGAGCCGGAGUUUUAACAUGCUAGCUCUCAAUUAAUGUAUCGACAAUCCAAACGAAAUUGAAAAAAAAGAAAACGUCGAUUUUUGUUUCUCAUCGGUUUCUAGUAAUUGUUCUACAAAAAAGCCUGCCCUUACCUUUUAGUUGAAUCACUGACUACAAUUCAUGAACAAUCAUCAAAUUUUGUAAUAACGCGUAUUUAAAUAUUUUUAGUGUAAAGACGUCCUUGAGAACAUUUCUUUAUGUUUCGACAAUAACGUUUAUGGAUAAUAUUGGAUAUUUUUAUGGGCACCAAUUGCGCCCUUUUAGUAUAGUCGAUGUAUUCCCAAUUUGUUAUGAACUGUAUGACCACAUUCGGUCAAGAUCCAUUAAAAUUUAAAUUUAGUGGACUACAUAUUUCCGUGACGAAUUUUUUCUUGAUAUAGUCUUCUGGUAUACUGCCGAAAUUUUCUCGAAAAAAAUACUUUUGAAUGAAUCUCAAAUAAGCAGAUAUAAUUGACAAUUGUCUUGUAUUCGAAUAGCACUGUAUGUAUGUCGUUAUAGUAAAUGACCAAGUUUUCAUUUAUUUUUUUAAUUUUAAGUCAAAUAUUUGUUGCACAUUUUAAUAACAAUUUCAUUUUUAUGAAAUAUAUAAGACGAUAUUCAUUCCUAUCCGACUUUCUAAAAUAAACUAUUAUUUUUAGUGGUAGAAGCAGGCUUUGGUUGUCCAUUUAAUCAAUUUUGUCAUAACCACUGUUUGACAAUUCCCGGACACUGUGGAGGAUACUGUGGUAGUUGGCACAGAUUAACAUGUAAUUGUUACCGAUGCGGUAAGGUUAUCCAUUUAAAGAAUUUUAAGAAUUUUGUUAAAACGUUUAUCCUUCUUUUUAUGAUUACGGUUGGUAAGAAAUAAAAUUUAUCAACAAACAUAAAAAAAAAUCAAUGCUGUUAUCUGAGUAGAAUAUUUCCUCACAGAAGACCGUGUUAUUAGCAGAAGGUGUCACGGCCACGUUGUUGGUUGUAAAGAAUAUCAGCAUUGAUGGAUAAACCAUGAAGUUAUCUUUGGUAGGUCUGGUUUGUUAAGUAUUUUUGGGGGUAGAGUGAUGUCUCGAAGUAGUAAGUAUGUUAGAAAGAACUUUGAUUAACAAUAUGCUUGUUGCCGUCUUUUCAUUCUGGAUAGCACAACUUGAAUUGGUGUAUCCUCUUUCUUUGCACGUUGUUUCGAUUUCAUAGUCUGUAUUAUUUUGAUCACCUCUAUCUUUAGAUGUUGUGUUGCUUUAUUGUUUGCGUUUUAACUGUUGCAGGACAGGCUGGUAUAGUAUUUUCAGUAAACCCUAUGCACACUGUGACGGUGAAUUUAUAGGUCAUAACGUCCUCAACAAAACUUAUUUCUUUCUCGCUGAAGCUAUAUAUUUUUUUACAUUUAGACUGGUGUGUUCCAGCAGCUAGGGGUUUUAAAGAAUUGAUUUUAGAACAUGAGGGGUUUAGACUAUUAUAUAUAAAAAAAAGAUGUGGUAAGACUGCAAAUGAGACAACUCACCAAAAGAGACCAAAUGACACGGAAAGUAACAACUGUAGGUCACCGUAUGGUCUUCCACAAUGAAAAAAGCCCAUACCUCAUAGUCAGCUAUAAAAGGCCCCGAAAUGACAAUGUAAAACAAUGAAAACGAGAAAACUAACGGCCUAAUUAUGUACAAACAAAAAUGAACGAAAAACAAAUAUGUAAAAAGUAAACUUCACUAAAAUACUGAACUUGGAGGAAAAUCAAUUCGGAAAGUCCAUAAUCACAUGGCAAAAUCCAAUAAUAAAACACAUAAACAAACAACCACUAAAUUAUAGGCUCCUUACUUGGGACAGACCCAUACAUACAGAAUAUCAGUUUGCUGAAUUGGUUUCUUCUUUUAAAAAGUAAAAAAUCAUUUAAAAAGUGAAAUACAAAAAAUACCGACCUUCAAGGAAAGUUCAAAACGAAUAGGUUUUUUUUUAUCAUAUGGCAAAAUCAAAAGCUCAAAUACAUCAAACACAUUAACCAAUGAAAUUCUUAUAAUGUUAAAGUUGAUGUCAUUCCUCUUUAAGUUUUAGAGUCGGCGCCGUGAUUUUCUUGACUUUGAUAAAUGAUCUACGUCAUAAAUGAACAUGGAUAUAAUCGAAGCCAUAAUCCCGUCCUUUAUCAUAUUUUGACAUCACCUUUCACGUCAUUAUUUAAACAUAUAACCGAAUUCGUACUUACCAUAAGCAACACGACGCGUACUAGAUUUGUGGAGCAGGCCCCUUCUUACUUUGGUCCUUCCGGUGUUUUUGUGGGAAUUGUAUAUUAUAUUUAUAAUUAUAAUUUGAAACAGUCUAUUGUUAUAGUCUUUAUGCUUUUGACAAUGCAUUUAAUUUCUUGAUAUAUUCAUUGAACGAACAAUGCCCGCAUUCACCGUUUAUCUUUUAUGUGCAUACAAACAUUGAUUUUUUUUCUAUUUCAGGCUGACAGAAAAAGAAGAUGUUUUCUGAAUAAAACACUCACAAAAUAUA
rnacentral:lncRNA from 1 species